rnacentral:rRNA from 1 species
AGUGAACGCUGGCGGUAGGCCUAACACAUGCAAGUCGAACGGCAGCACAGUAAGAGCUUGCUCUUACGGGUGGCGAGUGGCGGACGGGUGAGGAAUACAUCGGAAUCUACUUUUUCGUGGGGGAUAACGUAGGGAAACUUACGCUAAUACCGCAUACGACCUACGGGUGAAAGCAGGGGAUCUUCGGACCUUGCGCGAUUGAAUGAGCCGAUGUCGGAUUAGCUAGUUGGCGGGGUAAAGGCCCACCAAGGCGACGAUCCGUAGCUGGUCUGAGAGGAUGAUCAGCCACACUGGAACUGAGACACGGUCCAGACUCCUACGGGAGGCAGCAGUGGCGAAUAUUGGACAAUGGGCGCAAUCCUGAUCCAGCCAUACCGCGUGGGUGAAGAAGGCCUUCGGGUUGUAAAGCCGUUUUGUUGGGAAAGAAAAUCAGCAGGUUAAUACCCCGCUGUUCUGACGGUACCCAAAGAAUAAGCACCGGGUAACUUCGUG